rnacentral:lncRNA from 1 species
UAGAGGAAAACAAUUUCAAAAGGAGAAUUUUUUUUUUAUAUUCUUAUAACAAAAACGCAAAAUUCUUCUUCUUCUUUUUGGAUUUUCGACUUGUAACACAUUUCCAUAUACAAAAUAAGAAAUACCAUAACAAAAGACACGACAAACUUAACCUGACUAUUACAAACUCUCACAUCACCUAAAAGACUGGAUACUACUAUACAAGACUAGAAAAUAAAACAUGAACCAUUGACUCAAAAACAUAAAAUGGCUCCUCGAGCAGCUCCUGAAUGCAGUGAUCUUGGGGUAUCUGUCAUGCCCAAACUCCGGUAAGUAAAUCCACACCUGUAUAAGAAAACUUAAACUAACACUAUGUGAGAUAAUAACGUUCCCUACUAGACACAUGCAAGACAUGGUUGUGACUAUUUUUGUAAAAUGGCUUAUUUGGCCAAAAGGUGGCUAGAAGUGCAAAAUUUGGCUAGGACCCCGCAAAUCCAAGAACCUAAGAUUUAUUAGGAAGACCGGACCCUAUGUGGGUUGCCUACGUAUCACGCCCCAAAAGACAAGAAUCAGGUAUGCAUAGUUCGGGCAAUUUUGGAUAUGGGCAAGAAUAAUAAAAAAAACAACUAAUCUAGACCAAAUAUAUUUUAUUUUUUUGUCUUGUUUUGAAACAUGACGAAACUUGUAAACUCUUUUUUGGAUUUUUUUGAUUUUUGAUUUUUGAAAAAUGAUGAAAAAGUGCAAAAUCUUUUUUUUUUAUUUUCAAGCUCUUUUUUUUAACGAAAAUGUGACAGAAAACAUAAUUAGGCCACAUUCGCUUUAUCUUCACACUUCACCCUCUCUUUUUCUUUUUUCUUUUUUCUUUUUUCUUUUCUCUUUCUUUUUUUCAUUCGCCCUCAAUUAUCAUUGGUCCGCCAAAUGACCCUUUUUCCCUUGAAGAAAUGCAACAUGUAGCACAUAGGAUGCAUCAAGAUGGUCUGUUAUUUUGGAUAAACCUGUCCUAGAUGGACCCAACCCCUGUGUUGAGUCCCCAAAGUCAAAUGCACAUGAUGCAAUCAAACGUUCCUACUAGGGAUCCGGCAUGAGGCUGUAUUUUUUCUAGGUUUAAAUCCUAGGGUUUUGGUCUAGACUUGGGAUACCCGAGCGGACAACUGGGGCCGAGGAGGGGGCGACGUACCGGGAGCACUGAAGUCUGCCCGUCCUUGUCGCUUGCCCAGCCUCGUUCUAUUUGGUAUAAUUUUUACAGAAAAAGCGGGCUACGCGAACGUAUGCACCAUUUUCAGAAGACUCAGAUGGGUGGCGUAAGAAGACAGUUAUAUACAAUUCCAACAAUAUCAAAGCGGUAAACAGAUAGAAAUUAACAUAAAGGUUCACAGAAUACAGUAUUAUGAACAAUAAAUAAAGCCAAGUAAAAUCAUGAAACAAGCUCGAAUUCUUGAACCCUGAACCAGAGAUUCUGGGUUCGAUCCCCAGUAGAGUCGCCAGAGCUGUCACACUUCCUUUUUCACUUACACCCCCGAAAGGGUAUAUAUUUAAGGGAUUUUUUCCAAUGAAAGGACAAUCGAAACGGUAUCGUUUAUUAAAAAUUAGAGUCGCCACUUGGAAGAUUUAUGGUGUCCCAAGUCACCGGUUGAAUCCCGAAUCAGGAAAAUAUGAAUCUGUAAUGCAGUCCGCGAACCAGAAAUUCGGGUAAGGAAUUAUGUUAACCUGGGAGAAGGUGUUAGGCAUCCCCGAGUUCUGUGGUUCUAGCACGGUCGCUUUGAUCAUACUUGGCUUAUUAAAAUUGAUUAAUUACUAACUUUAGACCCUAUGUGCAUUUGUCUAUUAAUCAUUUUUAAAUGAAGAAAAUUAUCUCGAAGCGGGUCACGCGUACGUGUACCCACGAUCUAUAACAUGAAAUUUCCUCCAUCCCUUUUAUUUGUUGGAGGGAUAGAGAGACAAAUUGAACUGCUAAUGUAAUACAAAGAAUUGCCAAAUGGUAAACAAAAUACGAAAGACCAAGUUCAUCUCAUGUUAUAGCCAAUUAGUCUAUUCCAUUUGCAAACAAAGGCUUGUAAUUAACGUCAUUUUUGUUAUCCAGUAAACUAUUCGUUAGUAUAACGGAAAACUUUACCAUGACUAGUAGCAAAACACAUCUUAUAUGUUGUAAAACUACGGGAAAGUACGUAACCCAGAAUUAAUGAGAUUCUUCCUCAAAAUAUCACAAGCAACAAAAAUUCACAUAAAUCUUCACAUUGAACCAUAAUUAUAAGAAAUACACGAAAUGAAACAAAGGGCGAAGAACAGGAACUUUCGAACCUCGACGAACUCAGAACGACAAACGACGACCUCGAACGGAACAAGCAACAACGAACGGAGAUUCGGACAGGUUUAACAAACGAGCUCCUUGAGAGACUCAAAGCUGCGGAACUUACAUAGCGAACUGAAAGAGAACGAAAAUGGCGAUGACUGUAGCGUCACAAAUGCUCGCCGGUUGCUGGAAUUUUCCGGCGGGUUAAAGACUAGCAACGGUGCGUCUGGAACUCGUUAUGCCGACGAGCUGUUGGAGCUUGUUUUUCCAGCGAGUUUCAGGCAUAGGUGGGGGUUGUUUGAUGAUUAACGUUGGGGUCGUUGAGGUGGAGCUUCUUUCAUGGCUGUUGCGGCUGAAACUUCAUUAAAGCUCUAUGUUAUUCUUUCAUUCCUUGUUUUGUUUGUCAAGUGAAAAGGAACUCACACACACAAGAUUGAACUCGAAAGAAGAUGAUGACGACAGGUAAGGGUCUGUUCGUUUUGGUCUUGAGAACGAGGAAGAGGCCCGGCGUCGAUGGGGAAGGUCGUUUGGUUCCCGGAGAAACAGAACGGAGGGGGGAAUCUGUUGAUGUUUGUGGUUGGUUCUUUGAGAGGAUGGGGUGUGAGGAAGGAGAUGGAAAACCAGGGUGGGGUGCUUGAAGAAGACGACG